GACGAACCGUGCGAACGUUGUUCGGAAUCACUGGGCUUAAAGGGCGCGUAGGCGGGUGAUCAAGUCAGGGGUGAAAUCCUUCCGCUCAACGGGAGAACAGCUUCUGAUACUGGUCAUCUUGAGGGGGGUAGGGGCAUGUGGAACUUCCGGUGGAGCGGUGAAAUGCGUAGAUAUCGGAAGGAACGCCGGUGGCGAAAGCGACGUGCUGGACCCUUUCUGACGCUGAGGCGCGAAAGCCAGGGGAGCAAAGCGGG
rnacentral:rRNA from 1 species